UACUUGCCUGGAUUAGAUGUCCUACUGUUCCUAGAUCAUACAGUAUUUAUUUAAUCCUGUGUUCUUUUGCAGUGGGAGUGUGUUUUCAUGCAGAUGCUGAGUAAUCUCCCAGUAGCAUAGAGGACAUUGCAAAGAUUUGGAGUUUUGUGCAGUGUUUCUGCCUCUUGGUGUGGACAUGUGAGACCUUGGGGAGAAGAGUCCAGUGGAACUGAGCAACUGAUGUAGGUGACAGCCUGCAUCAGGUAUAGAAGAGGACAUCAGUGUACAGCCUAACAGCAUUUGAACGCUCAAUCCCAGUGAUUUUCUCAUAGGAAAUUAUUCUGGAGUGGCUCCUGCUGAUACAUUGUCCUGGAUUAAUUUCCUACACAGAUUCUCAGGUGAGGACUUCUCGCCUCUGCUGUAUUAG
rnacentral:lncRNA from 1 species